AUUGAACGCUGGCGGCAGGCCUAACACAUGCAAGUCGAACGGUAACAGAAAGCAGCUUGCUGCUUUGCUGACGAGUGGCGGACGGGUGAGUAAUGUCUGGGAAACUGCCUGAUGGAGGGGGAUAACUACUGGAAACGGUAGCUAAUACCGCAUAACGUCGCAAGACCAAAGAGGGGGACCUUCGGGCCUCUUGCCAUCGGAUGUGCCCAGAUGGGAUUAGCUAGUAGGUGGGGUAAAGGCUCACCUAGGCGACGAUCCCUAGCUGGUCUGAGAGGAUGACCAGCCGCACUGGAACUGGAACCCGGUCCAGGCGCCUACGGGAGGCAACAGUGGGGAAUAUUGCGCAAUGGGCGCAAGCCUGGUGCAGCCAUGCCGCGUGUAUGAAGAAGGCCUUCGGGUUGUAAAGUACUUUCAGCGGGGAGGAAGGGAGUAAAGUUAAUACCUUUGCUCAUUGACGUUACCCGCAGAAGAAGCACCGGCUAACUCCGUG
rnacentral:rRNA from 1 species